CCUUUUGAAUUUAUUUAAGGUCUUGCCUGCCCAAUGAUUUUUUGAAUGGCCGCGGUAUUUUGACCGUGCAAAGGUAGCAUAAUCAUUAGUCUUUUAAUUGGAGGCUGGAAUGAAUGGUUUGACGAGAUGGUGACUGUCUUAUGUAUAUGGAAUUGAAUUUUACUUUUAAGUUAAAAGGCUUAAAUAGUGAACAGGGACGAGAAGACCCUAUAGAUCUUUAUUUGUUGUUUUGGGGGAUUAAUAUGUUUGGGAGUAUUAAGGACCUUUAGAAUUAACGAAUUUUGUUGGGGUGAUGUGAGAAAGAGUUAAACUUCUUAUUGAGUAAACUUUGAUAAUAGGGUAAUUGAUCCUUUAUUAUGGAUGUAAGAUUAAGAUACCUUAGGGAUAACAGCGUUAUUUUAUUUGAGAGUUCUUAUUGACAAUAAAGAUUGCGACCUCGAUGUUGGAUUAUGAUUACAUCUGGGUGCAGUAGCUUGUGGUGUUGGUCUGUUC
rnacentral:rRNA from 1 species